UACGUAGGGGGCUAGCGUUGUCCGGAAUCAUUGGGCGUAAAGAGCGUGUAGGCGGUUCAGUAAGUCUGCUGUGAAAGUCCAAGGCCCAACCUUGGGAUGCCGGUGGAUACUGCUGGGCUAGAGUACGGAAGAGGCGAGUGGAAUUCCCGGUGUAGCGGUGAAAUGCGCAGAUAUCGGGAAGAACACCCGUGGCGAAGGCGGCACUCUGGGACGGUACUGACGCUGAGACGCGAAAGCGUGGGGAGCGAACAGG
rnacentral:rRNA from 1 species